CGCACGCAGGCGGUCUGUUAAGUCAGAUGUGAAAUCCCCGGGCUUAACCUGGGAACUGCAUUUGAAACUGGCAGGCUUGAGUCUUGUAGAGGGGGGUAGAAUUCCAGGUGUAGCGGUGAAAUGCGUAGAGAUCUGGAGGAAUACCGGUGGCGAAGGCGGCCCCCUGGACAAAGACUGACGCUCAGGUGCGAAAGCGUGGGGAGCAAACAGGAUUAGAUACCCUGGUAGUCCACGCCGUAAACGAUGUCGACUUGGAGGUUGUUCCCUUGAGGAGUGGCUUCCGGAGCUAGCGCGUUAAGUCGACCGCCUGGGGAGUACGGCCGCAAGGUUAAAACUCAAAUGAAUUGACGGGGGCCCGCACAAGCGGUGGAGCAUGUGGUUUAAUUCGAUGCAACGCGAAGAACCUUACCUACUCUUGACAUCCAGAGAACUUUCCAGAGAUGGAUUGGUGCCUUCGGGAACUCUGAGACAGGUGCUGCAUGGCUGUCGUCAGCUCGUGUUGUGAAAUGUUGGGUUAAGUCCCGCAACGAGCGCAACCCUUAUCCUUUGUUGCCAGCGCGUGAUGGCGGGAACUCAAAGGAGACUGCCGGUGAUAAACCGGAGGAAGGUGGGGAUGA
rnacentral:rRNA from 1 species